rnacentral:misc_RNA from 1 species
CAACUGUGGGGUAUUUCUCUGUUCUAUCUGUCUGAAUGCCCACAGGAGGAAUGUAAUAACAAAGACACACACAAUAGUUACCUUUGAUGAGAUGAAGGGGCGACCUGUGCAGAGUUUCCGUCGUCGACACCAGUGCAGUCAACACCAGCUGCCUCUACAGUUCUACUGCCACACUUGUACCAAGGUCGUCUGUGUUUCAUGCACUGUAGUAGAUCACGAUAAAGGGAAGGGACACAAUGUUGUGUCUGUGGAUGAGGCACACCAAGAACUGUCGCAAUCCAUAGAAGACGUUUUUGUAAAGAUGUAUGUGAAGUCAGAGACACUGGACAAAACAGAAGUAGAAUUAAUGAAGAAGCUGGAGAACAUCCAAAUGUCCAAGAGGGUUGCCACAGAUGAUAUCAACUAAACUUUUGACGAUCUGACCAAUGAGCUGAAGCAAACGAGGUCAGUCCUCUUGUCAGAUGUUGAACAUAAAUCUGCUCAGAAUCUUCAACUAACAGAGGAGUCACUGGAAGCAACAAGAGUUUCGCAGGCUAGAGUAAAAUCUUCUUCUGACUACACAAAACUAAUGAGAAGUAAAGCUGACAGGAUAGAGGAUCUUCAGGUGAUGGGGUCUUCAGCUGCCUCUUUGAGAGCCAUGUUGGACGACAUGCCACAAGAGGUAUCCUUUGUCAUGACUGGUGUGAACUUUGUAGAGGCAAACAUACAUCAUCUUCGUGAUAGCAUCAAAGCGGCUGGAAUGGUCAGGUCAGUAACGUUCUCCCCAACAGAGAGGCCGAAAUAUGUGCCAGAUUCUACAGCAUACAAUGCCAUCGUACUGGAUCCAGCAGAGUUACCGACAGUGAUGGAGAUGGACCGGAAGUUGUCUGAAGGGGAGAUAACAUGCCCUAUGCUGGAAUGGGACCCAGGAACAGCUCGGCGUGAUAUAAGCGUAUCUGGUCGGGUAGUCACCAACACUCCACCAACCACCCCUUCUCCUGAUACAGGAUGUCGGAUACAAGAAAUCAGAUCAGUUCUGGCGUCCAGACCUCCUGAUGGUCCGGAAACAGCCCCGGUCAACAGUGCAUCUAUCAACUAAACCUUGGGUUCUCUGUCAAAGAAACUAUACGAGACAACUGUAUGAUGCAAGUGACUGCUCUGACCCCCACCCCUGUAGAUGGUCCCUACCAUCAACACACUGGACUGAGUGUAGGUGUUGUUACAUGCCCGACCACAAGCAGCAGCUGAUGUGUCUCGGGUUGCCUAUAAUAACACCCUCCUCAGACACACCCCACUCACCCAGAACAGAGUUGGCCAGUCUUAUGACCUACGACUGUGUUUUGUACUGGAUGGAGCUAACAACAAACUGUCAGUUAUCAAUGCUGCUGAUAACACAGUGUACACCACUGUCACAGAUGUAGAUUUUGACAGACCCAUGUGGGUCAUGAUGCAUGUUGGUGAUCCCGACUAUGUAGAUAUAACAGGAGAACUGAUAUCAGGCCACAACGUUACAGGAUCCUUCAACGACUACAAUCGGUAGAAAAGUCUUCAUCACCGGCAUGACACUCUGCAUGUACAUUACAAUACUGACGCCAAUGCCUGAACCCGGCAGUACGUUGAUUGUCUGAAGAUCUUGGGACAUGACACAAGAAUGUAAUAUGCAACAGAUGCUAGUAUUGCAGUAGUGAUUAAUGUUUAACUCUUAGUGUUAAUUACAAAGGUUAUAGCAAAAGAAUAAAGAGAAAUAUGAACUGCAA